AGACAUUCGUUCAAGUCGAGAUAUUAACAUCUCAUUAAUAAUUGUUGGCAGCAUUAUUUGUGGAAUAACAGUGAUGAUUGUAGGAGCAAUAAUUGUAUUCGUUUUACGAAAGUCAGGCACUGCCAGAGAAAACAGAGAUCAGACAUAUGAUGAUAUAAACCUUGGACCUUUUUAUGGAAACCAAGAUUCCAACCAAACAUACGUGUACCUUAAUGAUAACCAAUCAACAGUCGUGACUAAUGGGGUUUGACAGUAAAGAAUGGAAACUAGAUUAAAGGACCUUUCAAGGACGUAAUGAGAUCUAAUAUUUGUUAAUUUCCUGGGAGUUUUGGUCUUUGAUGGAGAAUUGUCUCAUUGGCAAUCAUACUAUAUCGUUUUAUUCUUAUAUUGGACUAAUAAUUUCUGUAAAUU